rnacentral:lncRNA from 1 species
ACUUUGCUUCCUUCCAGCCCCCAUCCCUUUCCUCCUGGGGGCUGAGGGCUGGCAGCCGGACACAGACAUCCGGGGCCGGCCAGGAUUCUGGGGUUCCCACCAGCCUAUCCAGGCCAGCAGAAGGAGAGGUGGCAGAGGACCAAAGCUAGGGAGUCUCCAGCCCGGAGCACCUCCGGGCUCCCUUGCUCUCAGGCAGGGUGGGAAGCUGGGCUGGGCAGCUUUGAGGGCUGUCCUCAAGGGGCUGUCCCUUGAAGGGACCCUUGGUAGCAUCCUAUCCCUCCCCUUCAGAAACUGGGGUGUUUUGAGGUUUGUUGAGUCCCCAGCUGGGGUUCCUCUGCCGGCCUGGGGCACCCUGAUGUAGGGGAGCAGAGUUGUGUGUGGAGGUAAAGAGGAAGGACCAGAGCCAAGUCAGACAGGUUGUCAAUGCCUCUGAGCCUUGGCCUUUCAAUGGGGAUGGAGAUGCCCUUCAAGGUCACAAAGUCCCCCACGUGGGACUUUGCAGUGGGUCCAGGCUGAGGGCAGGAGGGGCUCAAGGCGAAUCUGUCUGUCCCCACUCAGAAUGACUGGCCACCAAGGGACUGAAAGGAGGAAUGAGGGAAAGGCCUCACUAGUCCGACCAGAGUGACCCCGAGGCAAGGCAGAGCCCUCCGCUCCC